rnacentral:rRNA from 1 species
UACGAACUGUGCAAACGUUAUUCGGAUUCACUGGGCGUAAAGGGUGCGUAGGCGGGUCUUUAAGUCAGGGGGGAAAUCCUGGAGCUCAACUCCAGAACUGCCUUUGAUACUGAGGAUCUUGAGUUCGGGAGAGGUGAGUGGAACUGCGAGUGUAGAGGUGAAAUUCGUAGAUAUUCGCAAGAACACCAGUGGCGAAGGCGGCUCACUGGCCCGAUACUGACGCUGAGGCACGAAAGCGUGGGGAGCAAACAGG